rnacentral:rRNA from 1 species
AGGACGAACGCUGGCGGCGUGCUUAACACAUGCAAGUCGAACGGUAAGGCCCCUUCGGGGGUACACGAGUGGCGAACGGGUGAGUAACACGUGGGUAAUCUGCCCUGCACUUCGGGAUAAGCCUGGGAAACUGGGUCUAAUACCGGAUAUGAGCUCCUGCCGCAUGGUGGGGGUUGGAAAGUUUUUCGGUGCAGGAUGAGUCCGCGGCCUAUCAGCUUGUUGGUGGGGUAAUGGCCUACCAAGGCGACGACGGGUAGCCGGCCUGAGAGGGUGAUCGGCCACACUGGGACUGAGACACGGCCCAGACUCCUACGGGAGGCAGCAGUGGGGAAUAUUGCACAAUGGGCGGAAGCCUGAUGCAGCGACGCCGCGUGGGGGAUGACGGUCUUCGGAUUGUAAACCCUUUCAGUAGGACGAAGCGAAAGUGACGGUACCUGCAGAAGAAGCACCGGCUAACUACGUGCCAGCACGCCGC